rnacentral:rRNA from 1 species
CAGUAGCCGCGGUAAUACGAAGGGGGCUAGCGUUGCUCGGAAUUACUGGGCGUAAAGGGCGCGUAGGCGGCGAUCAAAGUCAGGCGUGAAAUUCCUGGGCUCAACCUGGGGGCUGCGCUUGAUACUUGGUUGCUUGAGUGGGGAAGAGGGUCGUGGAAUUCCCAGUGUAGAGGUGAAAUUCGUAGAUAUUGGGAAGAACACCGGUGGCGAAGGCGGCGACCUGGUCCUUGACUGACGCUGAGGCGCGAAAGCGUGGGGAGCAAACAGGAUUAGAUACCCCUGUAGUCCCUGUCUCUUAUAC